UACGUAGGGUGCAAGCGUUGUCCGGAAUUAUUGGGCGUAAAGAGCUCGUAGGCGGUUUGUCGCGUCGGCUGUGAAAACCUGGGGCUCAACCCCGGGCCUGCAGCCGAUACGGGCAAGCUAGAAUUCGGUAGGGGAGACUGGAAUUCCUGGUGUAGCGGUGAAAUGCGCAGAUAUCAGGGGGAACACCGAUGGCGAAGGCAGAUCUCUGGGCCGUAACUGACGCUGAGGAGCGAAAGCGUGGGGAGCGAACAGG
rnacentral:rRNA from 1 species